rnacentral:tRNA from 1 species
GGUGGUUUGCCUGAGUGGUCGAAGGGGCCCGGCUGUAAACCGGGUGCAUGAUGCCGCGCUGGUCCGAAUCCAGCAGUCACCACGA